rnacentral:tRNA from 1 species
GUGGGUAUAGCUCAGUGGUAGAGCACAUGCUUAGUAUGCAUGAGGUCCUGGGUUCAAUUCCCAGUACCUCCA